rnacentral:misc_RNA from 1 species
AAAAUAAUCCUACCCUUUGUGAAUUUUGUUUGUUUGAAUAAUUUUUUUUUUUAAAAAAUUAUUGGAGUCUUUCCCUUUAGAGUUUGCUUUUGAGUUUGUAAAAGAAUUCGAAAACAUCUAAAGGGGAUGGUCAAUAAUUUUUUUUGAAAAAAGACAUUUUUUAAAAUUAAACUUUUUGUAUUCAUUUGUCUAAAAAUUAUUUUUAUAAUAUAAAAACAACUUUUGACAAUGGAUCUCUUGGUUCUCGCAACGAUGAAGAACGCAGCAAAAUGCGAUAAGUAGUGUGAAUUGCAGAAUACGUGAAUCAUCGAAUCUUUGAACGCAUAUUGCACUUUUUUAGUUUACUAAAAAGUAUGUCUGUUUGAGUAUCAGUAAAAUAUUCUCAUAAAAAUCAUUGUAUUUUUAUGGUUAUGAGUGUUUUACAACGAUACAAGUUGUUUCACUUUAAAUUUUUUUUUAAUAUUGAAAUUUUUCUAAUUUUAAUAAUUAAAAUUGGAUAAAAUUUUCCCGUCAAAAGGAAUAACCUAAACAAUUUUAAAUGAUUAAUUUUAGCAAAAUUUUCGUAAAAAAGGAAAAUUUUUACUAAAAUAACUUGAUCUCAAAUCAGAUAAAAGUACCCGCUGAACUUAAGCAUAUCAAUAAGCGGAGGAAAAGAAACUAACAAGGAUUCCCUUAGUAACGGCGAGUGAAGCGGGAAGAGCUCAAAUUUGAAAUCUUCAAGGUUUUACCUUGACGAAUUGUAGUUUAAAGAAGUGUUUUCUGCUGAAGUUUUGGUAAAAGUUCUUUGGAAUAGGACAUCAUAGAGGGUGAGAAUCCCGUAUUUGACCAUUAUUUUCAGCUUUGUGAUACACUUUCAAAGAGUCGGAUUGUUUGGGAAUGCAGUCCAAAAUGGGUGGUAAAUUUCAUCUAAAGCUAAAUAUUGGCGAGAGACCGAUAGCGAACAAGUACCGUGAGGGAAGAUGAAAAGAACUUUGAAAAGAGAGUUAAACAGUACGUGAAAUUGUCAAAAGGGAAGCGUUUGACACCAGUGUUGUUUUCUCGAAAAUCAAUUAAAAAUGGCUCGAUUUUGUAUUGCUGAGACCUUAAAAGCUCACUGUACAUUUUUCGUGUCUUUUUUAAUGCACUUUUCGUUUAACAAGUCAACAUCAGUUUCUUUUGUUGUAAAAGGGUCAUUGGAAGGUGGCUUUCUUUUCGGAGAAAGUGUUUAUAGCCUUUGGCCUCUGCAAUCGAGAGACUGAGGUCUGCAGCGUAGACUCUUCGGGGUUAGAUACAUUUGUGCUAAGUUAUAGCUUUUUAUAGACAACUUGUUGACUAUAAUUAGUCUUGUAGCUUACUCGCUUAUGCUAUUU